CGCUGGCGGCGUGCUUCAUACAUGCAAGUCGAACGAGAAGUCACUUCGGGUGAUGGAAAGUGGCGGACGGGUGAGUAAUGUGUAGAGAAUCUGCCCUUGAGUGGGGGACAACAGUUGGAAACGACUGGCUAAUACCCCCAUAUGAGCUUAGCUGAAAUGCUAAUCUUGAAAACUCCGGUGCUCAAGGAUGAGUCUGCAUCUGAUUAGCUAGUUGGCGGUGUAAUGGACCACCAAGGCUACGAUCAGUAGCUGGUUUGAGAGGAUGAUCAGCCACAAUGGGACUGAGACACGGUCCAAACUCCUACGGGAGGCAGCAGUGGGGAAUAUUGCACAAUGGGCGAAAGCCUGAUGCAGCAACGCCGCGUGAGCGAUGAAGGCCUUCGGGUCGUAAAGCUCUGUCCUCAAGGAAGAUAAUGACGGUACUUGAGGAGGAAGCCCCGGCUAACUACGUG
rnacentral:rRNA from 1 species